GACAGAGCUUGGCCAGCUCUGUCUGACUCCAGCAUCUGAGAGCUUAAGGACAAUGAAUCAUCUUUGCAUCUUGUUUAGUUUCUGUGUUGCAUUUCCUCCUUCAUCACAGUGACCAUGCUAAGAAGGGUUGCCUCCUUUCAUGCUACACACAUUCCCUCCUUUCUCUUUCUUCCUCUUAAUAUGUUCUUUUGUCCUCUAUUUUCUCAAGGUCCACAUCCGGCAGCAGAAGUGAAGAUGACGACUCUGAAGAAGGAGGCCUCCCACUGAGCCAAGCCAAGGGGACAGAUC
rnacentral:lncRNA from 1 species